GGGUGCGAUCAUACCAGCACUAAUGCACUGGAUCCCAUUAGAACUCCGUAGUUAAGCGUGCUUGGGCGAGAGUAGUACUUGGAUGGGUGACCUCUUAGGAAGUCCUCGUGUUGCACCCU
rnacentral:rRNA from 1 species